rnacentral:tRNA from 1 species
GCCUUAGUAGCUUAAUAUAAAGCCUCGGCCUUGUAAACCGAAGAUUGAAAUUUAAUAACUUCCUAAAGCU